rnacentral:misc_RNA from 1 species
AACUUUCGACAAUGGAUCACUCGGCUCUCGCAUCGAUGAAGAGCGUAGCGAAUUGCGAAAAUUAGGGCGACUUGCAUAAAUCGCGAACCAUCGAGUUCUUGAACGCACACUGCACCCUCUGGGUAACCAAAGGGUCUGCCCGGUUGAGUAUCGAUUGACUAACCUCGCGCCUCCUUUCUGGUGGCACGGACAUGAGCGGCUGGAGCAGCCUGUGUUUACGCGCAGAAGCUCUCUUGCUGCUUGAAUUGAAUGUGAAAGUGGCCGCACUGUUGGGCCGCGUGUUGCAGUUCCACCGAUUGUGUAUGCAGUCUGGGAUCAGCGCGCAACAGCCCACAGCACAGUCACACACACACAGCAACGAUGUGCUGGCGCUACGGCGACCAGCCAACCCAUGCGAUCUCAACUCGGGCAGGAUUACCCGCUGAACUUAAGCAUAUCAAUAAGCGGAGGCU